UACGUAGGGUGCAGGCGUUAAUCGGAAUUACUGGGCGUAAAGCGUGCGCAGGCGGUUUCUUAAGUCAGAUGUGAAAGCCCCGGGCUUAACCUGGGAACUGCGUUUGAAACUGGGAGACUUGAGUGUGGCAGAGGGGGGUGGAAUUCCACGUGUAGCAGUGAAAUGCGUAGAUAUGUGGAGGAACACCGAUGGCGAGGGCAGCCCCCUGGGUUAACACUGACGCUCAUGCACGAAAGCGUGGGGAGCAAACAGG
rnacentral:rRNA from 1 species